rnacentral:rRNA from 1 species
AGCGAACGCUGGCGGCAGGCCUAAUACAUGCAAGUCGAACGGUCUCUUCGGAGGCAGUGGCGGACGGGUGAGUAACGCGUGGGAAUAUGCCCUUUGGUACGGAACAACUGAGGGAAACUUCAGCUAAUACCGUAUGUGCCCCUUCGGGGGAAAGAUUUAUCGCCAUUGGAGUAGCCCGCGUUGGAUUAGGUAGUUGGUGGGGUAAAGGCCUACCAAGCCUACGAUCCAUAGCUGGUCUGAGAGGAUGAUCAGCCACACUGGGACUGAGAUACGG